CUAACCGGCUUAGGAACCAGCUCCUAUUUCAGUGGAAACGUUAAGUCUUCGAUGCACUGUUAAGUGCUGAUGCUACUGUGGCAAUGUGUUUUGCAAAGUCCUUAGUCAUCUUCUCUCUGCAAUCAAAUUAGAGUUCGUAUCUAACUUGUAGACUCUCUCAUUCAUUGCUCCACAUUGCUCCAUCCAGUCAGGUGAAAGAAAUUAAUAGAGUUUUGCCUUUUUUGCAAAAUGGUGGUUGGUUCUUCAGAAACCGUGUUAUUACCUUUCGUAAAUCUACAAAUAUUUAUUGAGCAUUUAUGAUGUGCUCGGCGCUGUUAGGCACUGUGUUUUUAAAGCACAAACUGUUGCAAGCUGAUUCCAAUAUAAUGUUUUCUGAUUCUUUAUCUGCAUUUUCGAUGGUAAGUCUUUCUGAUGGACAAAGCCUAGAAGGUUCCCAUCAGGGCUUCAGAAUUUUCAGGCAGUUUGCUUUUAUUUUUAUUUCCUAAUGAGAAGUUAGUAGAGAAAUGAAACAAAACCAGGUCUGUGUAAAAUGCUUGAACCAACAGUAGGUUUUCUAAAUAUGGACUAAUUGUGGGGUUGUGCCUGUUUCGGCCACUCCUUUCUUAGUUUCAAACACAGUGUGAUGCCAAGAAAUGCAUCCGACAGCGAGCCUCUCUUCAGGAAUUGACAUGACCAGACAUCUAGCAGACCCCGGGGGAGUGAAUGCCGUUCAAGACUGUCAUCAGCCAGGGCGACCUGGGGAGGGGAGCUACUGCGUUCCUUUGCCAAGUGACAGUGGCCUUUCCUGACAGUUUGGCUGUCAUGAUUGGGGGACUUGAGGAGUCACAGGCCUUGGGUAAUUUGUGCUCAUGUUUUAAUUUCUCCAGAUGAUUCUGAGCUGGUUAAGGUCCCUAGAGGGGAAGUUUCAAUUUGCCUUAGUCCUUCCUGUGAGUACAUACAUAUUCGAGUAUAGCUUUUUACAAUUUUUUAAAAUCGUAUCGGCUAAUUCUCCAUGACUUUGUGAACUCCAUGUUCUGUCCUCAUGAUCUUUCACUUGUUUUCUCAGUUUCUGAUGUCACAUUGGAAUAGCACUGUAUAUUUUGGCUUUUUUUGACCUGCUGAUUACAGGUAUAGUCUAAAAGCCAGAAGUUGCCACUUCAUAUUUAUGGUGUUCUUAAUAGAGUAGGAAAUGAUGUAAAAUUAUGAAUGUUAGAAAACUUAGUACAUUCUCAAACAAUUUUCAAGUAAUACGGAAAAUUUCCCGUGAGAAUUAGAAAAAGACUGGUAACGACGUAGUAAAUUUAGACCUGAAAUGUUUUUAAAAAUCUAUUCUGCAAAGAAAACUAGCCUCCACCAAAAUCUCUCUGCAUCUUGUACUCAAUAGCAACCAUUAGUUUUGUCAUGAAAAAGAAUGAGUCAGAAAGUUGUACAGGAUCAAAUGGAAAGAAGGAAACUUUCUAUCCAACACUGUCAUGGAAACCCGUUGCUACCUAUUACCUAUGACUUACCAAACUCCAAAAAAAAAUUUUUGAGGAAAUAAUUAAGCCAAAAUGCUUUUUUAAUUAUAAAAGUGACUACCUAUUAUUGGUUGUAAAUGAAGCAGACUUAGUUGCACUGUGAUCCAAAAAGGAGACAUUCCUCCCAUUUCUCCAGACUUGGUAAUAAGAUGAUUUUUUAAGCCACUGUGCCAUGUCCAUAAAAUUAAAACUUAGCAUGGCCAACAGUAACCUGCUCUCCCCGACCCGGCAACAUGUUCUGGGGGUGAAAGUACUGAUCCUCAGUGAUAGUCCAGUAAAUUAAUCUCCAUAAUCUCUUUUUUUCCCUUUCAUGUAAUAUCCUGACCAACUGUCUAGAAUCAGAGCAAUGCUUUUGGUUGCCUUGAACCUCCCUCCACAGAGACGACCUUUAGCCCCUCUCCAUCCGUUUCCCCCUGCCCACGUUGCAAAAAGUCUUAAUAACAGAUCCCUAAUGGCAACUUCAAAGGGCCCAUUUGUUACUCAAUGUUUCACACACAAGAACACUUGCAAAGAUUUCUUCAUAAUGUGAAUUUUUUGUUUUUCAGUUCCAGAAGCAUUUCCUACAGUUUGGACAUUACUUUUCCUCUCGGAUUUUCAACUUGAAGCUUUAAUUUGCACUGAAUUGCCUAACCUGGUUAAAAUUUUAAUUUUUCCUCUUAUUAAGCUGGACAGAUUUGGAAGCAAAUUACAGUGUGUUUUCAAAAAUACAGGUACUACCUGUUGACCUGGAAUUUUAGUGCUUCUGGGAGAAGUUUCCAGAAAAAGACAGCAAUAGAGUGAAGGGUUUUCUUCCCAAUUACUGUUUUAUUUUUUUAAAGGCCUUUUUUAAACUUGUCUAAUGUGGCAAAUAGUUAUGUGUUCAAUUAAUUUAUAUU
rnacentral:lncRNA from 1 species